rnacentral:rRNA from 1 species
UACGUAGGGCGCAAGCGUUGUCCGGAAUUAUUGGGCGUAAAGAGCUCGUAGGCGGCUUGUUACGUCGGGUGUGAAAGCCCGGGGCUUAACCCCGGGUCUGCAUUCGAUACGGGCUAGCUAGAGUGUGGUAGGGGAGAUCGGAAUUCCUGGUGUAGCGGUGAAAUGCGCAGAUAUCAGGAGGAACACCGGUGGCGAAGGCGGAUCUCUGGGCCAUUACUGACGCUGAGGAGCGAAAGCGUGGGGAGCGAACAGG